rnacentral:rRNA from 1 species
AUACGGAGGAUGCGAGCGUAUCCGGAUUUAUUGGGUUUAAAGGGAGCGUAGGUGGGAUAUUAAGUCAGCUGUGAAAGUUUGGGGCUCAACCUUAAAAUUGCAGUUGAUACUGGUUUCCUUGAGUACGGUAUAGGUGGGCGGAAUUCGUGGUGUAGCGGUGAAAUGCUUAGAUAUCACGAAGAACUCCGAUCGCGAAGGCAGCUCACCGGGCCGGAACUGACACUGAUGCUCGAAAGUGCGGGUAUCAAACAGGAUUAGAUGCCCUGGUAGUCCGCACAGUAAACGAUGAAUACUCGCUGUUUGCGAUACACCGUAAGCGGCCAAGCGAAAGCGUUAAGUAUUCCACCUGGGGAGUACGCCGGCAACGGUGAAACUCAAAUGAAUUGACUGGG